rnacentral:rRNA from 1 species
AGAGUUUGAUCAUGGCUCAGAUUGAACGCUGGCGGCAGGCCUAACACAUGCAAGUCGAAUGGUAGCACAGAGGAGCUUGCUCCUUGGGUGACGAGUGGCGGACGGGUGAGUAAUGUCUGGGAGACUGCCCGAUGGAGGGGGAUAACUACUGGAAACGGUAGCUAAUACCGCAUAACGUCGCAAGGCCAAAGAGGGGGACCUUCGGGCCUCUUGCCAUCGGAUGUGCCCAGAUGGGAUUAGCUAGUAGGUGGGGUAACGGCUCACCUAGGCGACGAUCCCUAGCUGGUCUGAGAGGAUGACCAGCCACACUGGAACUGAGACACGGUCCAGACUCCUACGGGAGGCAGCAGUGGGGAAUCUUCGGCAAUGGACGAAAGUCUGACCGAGCAACGCCGCGUGUAUGAAGAAGGCCUUCGGGUUGUAAAGUACUUUCAGCGAGGAGGAAGGCGUUGUGGUUAAUAACCGCAACGAUCGACGUUACUCGCAGAAGAAGCACCGGCUAACUCCGUGCCAGCAGCCGCGGUAAUUC